CAGCCGCCGCGGUAAUACGAAGGGGGCUAGCGUUGUUCGGAAUUACUGGGCGUAAAGGGCGCGUAGGCGGCCAUUCAAGUUAGAUGUGAAAGCCCUGGGCUCAACCUAGGAAUUGCAUUUGAUACUGUUUGGCUUGAGUUCGGGAGAGGUGAGUGGAAUUCCCAGUGUAGAGGUGAAAUUCGUAGAUAUUCGCAAGAACACCAGUGGCGAAGGCGGCUCACUGGCCCGGUACUGACGCUGAGGCGCGAAAGCGUGGGGAGCAAACAGGAUUAGAUACCCCUGUAGUCCCUGUCUCUUAUAC
rnacentral:rRNA from 1 species